UGAAUAGAGCCAGCCCUGAGAAUUUAGAGGCCUUAGAUGUUUAAUUAUUAUAAGGUCUCUCAUAUAUAUAUAUGCGCAAAACUUUAUACAAUUCAAAAGAUGGAAUAACAAAAUAAAACUUCUUUCACAACCUCGAAAAAUCAGGCUAGCAUAAGAUUUAACCUUCUCACAUUUUGAGAUGUAAAAUUAGUAAUCAAACUACUAACAUCAAGUUUUUCCAACAUAUUUUUUUUCAAUAGAAAUCAUAGCUAAUCCAUUCAAUCGCUCUUGUGACAUGGAUGAUCGAAGAUAAGAAUUAAUCAACUUCAACUUUGAAAAACAUCUUUCAGCAGAGACAAUUGUGAUAGGAAUGGUCAAUAAUAUUCUAUAAGCAAUCCAGACAUUUGCAAAACAACAGUUCAUUCUCUAAAUGUAAUCCAAUACAUCAAUUGCUCCAAAUAUGUUUUCAGCUAUUGCGUUCCUUAAAACUUUCAACUCUGAAAAUAAUUAUAUUCCAUCGAUAUCAGAAAUCAUAUUAUGCUUUAAGUAAUUUUCAAGUUUAAUGUAAAAAUACUUCAAAACAUCAUCAUCAAUAAAUUUAAGUCUUUUCAGAUCAAAUAAAAAUUCAAAAAUAUCAUCAUAUUUUUGAAAUUGCUCAAAUCUAUUGUCAAGUGAUGAUAG
rnacentral:lncRNA from 1 species